AGAGUUUGAUUAUGGCUCAGAUUGAACGCUGGCGGCAGGCCUAACACAUGCAAGUCGAGCGGAUGACGGGAGCUUGCUCCCGAAUUCAGCGGCGGACGGGUGAGUAAUGCCUAGGAAUCUGCCUGGUAGUGGGGGACAACGUCUCGAAAGGGACGCUAAUACCGCAUACGUCCUACGGGAGAAAGCAGGGGACCUUCGGGCCUUGCGCUAUCAGAUGAGCCUAGGUCGGAUUAGCUAGUUGGUGAGGUAAUGGCUCACCAAGGCGACGAUCCGUAACUGGUCUGAGAGGAUGAUCAGUCACACUGGAACUGAGACACGGUCCAGACUCCUACGGGAGGCAGCAGUGGGGAAUAUUGGACAAUGGGCGAAAGCCUGAUCCAGCCAUGCCGCGUGUGUGAAGAAGGUCUUCGGAUUGUAAAGCACUUUAAGUUGGGAGGAAGGGCAUUAACCUAAUACGUUAGUGUUUUGACGUUACCGACAGAAUAAGCACCGGCUAACUCUGUGCCAGCCGCCGCGGUAA
rnacentral:rRNA from 1 species